rnacentral:rRNA from 1 species
CUUGCCCACGGGAGGCAGCAGUGGGGAAUAUUGCACAAUGGGGGAAACCCUGAUGCAGCGACGCCGCGUGAAGGAAGAAGUAUUUCGGUAUGUAAACUUCUAUCAGCAGGGAGGAAAAUGACGGUACCUGACUAAGAAGCCCCGGCUAACUACGUGCCAACAGCCGCGGUAAUACGUAGGGGGCAAGCGUUAUCCGGAUUUACUGGGUGUAAAGGGAGCGUAGGCGGUUUAGCAAGUCAGAAGUGAAAGCCCGGGGCUCAGCUCCGGGACUGCUUUUGAAACUGUUGAACUAGAUUGCAGGAGCG